CCUACGGGCGGCAGCAGUGGGGAAUAUUGCACAAUGGGCGCAAGCCUGAUGCAGCCAUGCCGCGUGUGUGAAGAAGGCCUUCGGGUUGUAAAGCACUUUCAGCGGGGAGGAAGGCGGUGAGGUUAAUAACCUCAUCGAUUGACGUUACCCGCAGAAGAAGCACCGGCUAACUCCGUGCCAGCAGCCGCGGUAAUACGGAGGGUGCAAGCGUUAACCGGAAUUACUGGGCGUAAAGCGCACGCAGGCGGUCUGUCAAGUCGGAUGUGAAAUCCCCGGGCUCAACCUGGGAACUGCAUUCGAAACUGGCAGGCUAGAGUCUUGUAGAGGGGGGUAGAAUUCCAGGUGUAGCGGUGAAAUGCGUAGAGAUCUGGAGGAAUACCGGUGGCGAAGGCGGCCCCCUGGACAAAGACUGACGCUCAGGUGCGAAAGCGUGGGGAGCAAACAGGAUUAGAUACCCCUGUAGUC
rnacentral:rRNA from 1 species